UGGCAGGCAGCGCCGCUUUCAUCAUUUCUCAGAAAAGUCAAUUUCAUUUUCACUUCCCCACGUCGCGGCAGCGGGAGCAACAAGCGGCUGCGCGAUGGAACAUCCUAGGACCGUCUACCUGGAUGCAUCAGGACUCAUUUCUUUUCAAGGGAGUCGAGAAAGGAGAGUGAUUACUUGGCCAUGCAGCAAUUGACCUCUCCAUGAUUGAAACUUAAAGAUACAUUCAAGUCAUCAUAUUUCCUAUUUUGCUUGCUCAAUUUCCACGUAUAACAGGAUUAGCAGAAGGGAGAGAAAACAACUCAUUUGAAGGCAGUAAAGGGUAGGAUGUCUCUCUCUGUCUCUGUCUCUGUCUCUGUCUCACACACACACACACACACACACACACACACACACGCACACACACACACAGUAGAGGAGGAUUCUCUGCAUGCAGAAACUCAAUUCAGAACAUUUUUCCCACAGAAGUAAUAAGAAACCAUGAUGGUACAAGUAUAUAGUUUUCCUUCAUUAUGGGUUAAAUUAAGAGUUUGUGGGCUGGCCCGGGAAUACACCAUUUUAUAACAUUGUACACAUGGGAAACUUUCAUUCUGAAAUCUAGACAGCUGUUUUCAAAAGACACUAUGAGGGCUCAGUGCGUUGUGUGGGCCUGCGGCUGCCCACCCUCCACAGGACCGUGCUCAGCAAUUUUGGAGGCGACGAAGAAGAAAGAGGCCUGCUUCCCGAUCUUGAGGCAUUUGCGGUCCACGUUAGGAGACAGGGCCCACAGUGCAAAGAUGAUUAUUUCAAGACAGAAAUGGCAUGUGGCCCCACUCCCAGGGGACCAGGAUGUAUUAUAAAGAAUGAAGAUCAAGAUGCAAAGAAAGGUUCAUAUUUUGAUCUCCUUUUUGCAAAGACAACAGUGGACACCCCCCAAAAAAGUUUGAAUUUAAAAGGAUAAAGGUGUAGAUAUGAAGCUGUUAAUAUUGGUCACCUUAAGGACAGGACCCUUCUGGUAAGAGUGCUUUAACCCAGAGCCACCCAAUAGACCCACGAUGGAGACACUUUUAAGCAGCUGGCGUUUCACUUCCCUAUAAGAUCCUCCUGCUCUCCCCGUGGGAAAGGCCCAUCGUGGCCCUUUCUGUGCAUAUCUGCUACCUGAAAGGUAAGGAGGAGUUUCCUAAAGUGUAAAACCGUGGGAAUAAAGGCUGUUGCUCUCAUGGCAGCUUGAGCCCUGCUCUUGUUAAGGGUUCUCUGCUUCACCCUGAUGAAUUCUCCUACAGCAUCUUACAGAACCAACACGGCUUCCCCUCCAGGCAGGUUGGAUGCAUUCACAGGAGGGAAGCAAGCAGCUGCUGGAGGCUGGCCCACUGAAUACACUUGGAGAAAGUGCUGUGUGCGUUUCUGUUCAACAUUACUUGUAUGUCCAUGAUAGUUCAGUGGCCUCAGGAAAAGUAGAGACCUUAGUCCAGUUUUCUCUGUACCUAUUCUGAGGAUUAUUCACCGAGUGAUAGGUGUCCAUUACAUCAGCAUGACACCUUCAUCAGUCAAGCCCAAAAAUAAAUGAUUCCACAUGGUAAACAACAAAGCAUAGUAAGGAUACCAAAGAACGGCUCAGGCUUCCUACAGGUAGUGGGAUUUGAGCUGUACCUUAAAGAAUAGGUUAAAAAUAAAUAAGCAAUUAAAACAACUAUACCCCAAUAAAAAAAAUAAAAAUAAAAAUAAAAUAAAAUGCUCACACAAUAAAUAAAUGAGCAAUUAAAAAUA